rnacentral:rRNA from 2 species
GCUCUUUCUUUUUUAAAGACCUUCUUUGAAGGUAUGCUUAAGGAGGGGCUUGCGACACAUUAGUUAGUUGGCAGGGUAAAGGCCUACCAAGACUAUGAUGUGUAGCUGGACUGAGAGGUUGAACAGCCACAUUGGGACUGAGACACGGCCCAAACUCCUACGGGAGGCAGCAGUAGGGAAUUUUCGGCAAUGGAGGAAACUCUGACCGAGCAACGCCGCGUGAACGAUGAAGUACCUCGGUAUGUAAAGUUCUUUUAUUAAGGAANAAAAAAGAGUGGAAAAACUCCCUUGACGGUACUUAAUGAAUAAGCCCCGGCUAAUUAUGUGCCAGCAGCCGCGGUAAUACAUAAGGGGCGAGCGUUAUCCGGAAUUAUUGGGCGUAAAGGGUGCGUAGGCUGUUUAAUAAGUUUAUAGUUUAAUUUCAGCGCUUAACGCUGUUGUGCUAUAGAAACUGUUUUACUAGAGUGAGAUAGAGGCAAGCGGAAUUCCAUGUGUAGCGGUAAAAUGCGUAAAUAUAUGGAGGAACACCAGAGGCGUAGGCGGCUUGCUGGGUCUUUACUGACGCUGAGGCACGAAAGCGUGGGGAGCAAACAGGAUUAGAUACCCUGGUAGUCCACGCCGUAAACGAUGAGUACUAAGUGUCGGGUAAAACCGGUACUGAAGUUAACACAUUAAGUACUCCGCCUGAGGAGUACGUACGCAAGUAUGAAACUUAAAGGGAAUUGACGGGACUCCGCACAAGCGGUGGAUCAUGUUGUUUAAUUCGAAGAUACACGAAAAAACCUUACCAGGUCUUGACAUUUUUCUUGCGAAGUUAUAGAAAUAUAAUGGAGGUUAUCAGGAAAACAGGUGGUGCAUGGUUGUCGUCAGCUCGUGUCGUGAGAUGUUAGGUUAAGUCCUAAAACGAGCGCAACCCUUGUCGUUAAUUGCCAGCAUGUAAUGAUGGGGACUUUAACGAGACUGCCAAUGAAAAAUUGGAGGAAGGUGGGGAUUACGUCAAAUCAUCAUGCCCCUUAUGAUCUGGGCUACAAACGUGAUACAAUGGUUGAUACAAAGAGUAGCUGAAACGCGAGUUCUUAGCCAAUCUCACAAAAUCAAUCUCAGUUCGGAUUGAAGUCUGCAACUCGACUUCAUGAAGUGGAAUCGCUAGUAAUCGGAUCUGCAGUCGC